AAUGGAAGUGUAACAUGUAACGUGCAACGUAACUGAUUGCGCUACAGCUAGUAAUAAUUUUCAGUCUGGGCCAAUGAAUAUCAGAAGCAAGGAACGUCUACUGGAGAGUGGAGGCAGUACAGCAGGAUCAAGAAUUCAACAGUUUGACAGAUUCAAUUCAAUUUGAAGUUUCACACUCUUCACAAAAUAUAAAAAUAAAUAAAACUCUCAAAAUAAAACAGUAGUGUGUUUUUCUUUCACUUCAGGGAAAG